UUUUAUUUUAUUAUAAGGUUGGUUUAUAAUAUGAAAUAUUAUUGUUUCAACAUUUUUCAUAGAAAUAUUUGCACUAACAUCGAUGAGAAAAAUUGUUCUGCGCGAGAAAGUGUAGCCUGUUCUCGCUCGAUGAAAGUUACGGGAGAAUGGAUUGAACUACGAUGAAAAAUUUGAUCCAACAUAAAAACUCAAAAUGACUUAAACCAUUCAAUAGGUUCACCAAGAAUUAUUUCGCGAACUUCGCAUUUCUCUCGUACCAUUUAUCAGCAAGUUUCUUAUAUCGUGCGCCCGAAUUAUAUUAUCGAAUGAUAUAAAAUCAUAACUGAAACUAUUAUAUAGAUAUCGCACAUAAUUAUAUAUUAUAAUAUUUUAUAAUAAAAUUUUUCAAUUUUUCAAAAUUUCAAAUUUAUCAAUAUUGAUAAAAAUCUUUUUCUUCAUUUUAUUUAAUUUGUUUAAUUUUUAAAAUAUAAUCAGAAAUAUAAAUAGAAAUAUAAAAAUUAUAUAUAAAAAAAUAUUUUAUAAAAUACAAAUUAAAUAAAAAUAAUUAUAAAAAAAAAUUUUUAAUAUCUUCAACGUAAUAUAAUAAUAAUUUAAACGUUCGACGUAUGAUUUUGAGGCUAUAAAACGGGGAACUCGUAGACAUCGGGGCCCCCGAGUUCGAGGGAGUUUGCCCAACGCCGUUAGCUUCGAAACCCGCCACUGACUGUCAGCCUUUAUACGGCAAGCAGCAUAAGAGUGCUCGAAGGCCUCGGCUCUUGCGAGCCAGCAACGAACGGCAGACAACGUCGUACGGAUACCGCGCGCCACCUUCCAUACGGCAUGCAGCCUAAGAAAAUUCACUGCGAACAUUUUUAUUCGGUAUCGGGUAAACGAGCUGCAUCAUCGGAACGCUUCGAUCGCGAAACAAGAGCGUGCAAAUUGACGCAUCGAUCGUUGAUCGUCAGUACUCAACAGGCCGGUUAAUUUCGCGAAUUUUGCGUGACAUUCCGUAGGCAGCCCGAGGGGAGAGCGUGCUUGAGGCUCUGAGAAGCGUAUCGCGCGACGGCCACAGCCGUCGGCGAGGCAGUUCUAAGCGAAGUCGUUUUCUCCGUGAAGGCGCGGUGAAAAUGUCUUCCUCUUCUUCGCGAUGAGGAACAAACUUCUUUCUCCCUUUAUUAUUGCUUGGUAUCUACUUAUAUACAUGUAUCUUAGUGUUUGUAACGCUUUUAACAUAAAAAGAAAGAAUUUCAACUUCUCGUUACGUUCAUAUGUGAAAGUUUCUAUCUCUAUAACUUAAAUUUCGAUCGAUUUUCUCGUUGUACGAUGAGGAUCAAGAUAACGCGGAAUUUUUGAAGCAAAAAUUUAAAAGAAAUAUUUCAAGAUAUUCGUUCCCGUUGUUUGUGCUGCGCAAAUGAUGACGAUGUGACUAGUCGGUCAGGCAGAGAUCGUUGUUUUCAAAGAGAUCGAACUGCAGACCGUGACGAGUCAAAAUGUAUUUUAUUUGAUGCAUUGGGAUUCAUGAUUAUUGAUAAUUAAAUGUUUUCGUUAAACUGGUGCAUAUCUCAACUUUGUUAUUAUUAUUCAUAUUGUUAUUGGCCGCAAAUUUUGAUGCCGUAAAACGAACAGCGCCGAAAAAAAGAGAAGAGAAGAAUGAGACAGUGGGAGUUUUAACUGGCGGUUUAUUGCCGGCGCGAGAAUGUGCCAAUGAUUCUGACCGCGGAAACGAGCGCGUACUAAGCGUUUAAAUCUGCUCGCGAGUACAACCGUAUGCAGUGAAUAUAUAAGCAUAUAAUACCUGUGCCGUGACAACGAAACCAGUGUACGCGAGGACAGACGAACGCGUGGCUUCGCGACGGAAGUAAAGCGCUAGUCAAGUUUACGAUUGGUUAAGCAUUGCGCGACAGAUGAAUUGUGGCCAAUGAAUGUCCUUGCUCUCUGGACGAGGCCGCGACGACUAACGGAAUAAGAAAUAAGUAGAUAUCAAAGGUACUCGCAGUGGGGAUCGAGGAACUCGCGAGGCGUUUUACGAUCGUCUUCGAAAGCUGCGACUCCUGUGCACUUCCGGCCUGAAUUCUACAUAGAAGCAUCUCCAGGCGGUUUUCUUUUCGCGGAAGGGAAAAGAUAAUUUAGUAAUCAUCUGAAAAUAUCCCUAUAUAUUUGUUAAAUAUAUGUAUAAUCCAUUCUGCAUUGAUUUUUUUAUUGAUAGAAAUUAAAAAUAAUUUUUAUUUAAUUAUUAUUUAUUAUUUCUAUUAUUUUUUUAUAUAAUUUUAUUUAUUACCAAUUAUUACUAUAAUGGAAUUUUCAUAAUCUAUACAUAAUUAUAAAAAAUAAAUUAAUUUGUUUAAAAUCAUAUAUCUAAUAAUUAUGUCAAUAUUGUAUUUUUGAAAUAUCAUAUAUAAAUAUCAAUCCCUCAGAUUAUGUAUAUUUUUACAUUUUAUUGCAUAAUAUUAACUAAAAUUCAAAUUUAAGAUGUUUACCUUAUAAAUCCAAAUAUAGAUUCGAAAAACUAUUUGGGAAAAUCGUGUUUCAUUAGUUGUUAUAUUGGUGCAGCAACUGAAGAUACUUGGAAAGUCGAGUCAGUUUUUCUGCUAUUCCUCUGCAACCGGAAGUUACUCUUCGGCUGCAUUUUCCUCAUCCUUAAAUCUCUUUUUCUCUGUUUCUUGAUUUUUCUCUCAAUGAUUUUUAUCAUUUAUUUUCCAAACGUUAUUUGUACACAUUGACAAAAUAAAAUACGAGAUAUUCAUUUACAAAUAUUUUUUAUAAUAAUAUUUUUUUUUCAAUUAUAUCUUUUCUAUGGAAAAUUAUUAUGAUAUUAAUUUAUUAUGAUAUAAAUUUAUAUAUAUUAACAGAUUUAGAUUUUAUAUAUUAUUGAAUAUUUCUUAAAUUUUAUUUUGCAUAUUUUUUUAAUUUUUUAUUUCUUGUAUAUAUAAAUUUAUUAUCUAUUAAUUAUUACACGAAUCAAAUAUUAUUUUUAGAAAAUGUUUAUAUAUAUCUAUAGACUGCAUAUUUAUAUUUGAAAUAAGUUCAAAUAGUGAUAUAAAUAAUAUAAAUAAUAUUCACAACACAGAUACAAGAAUUCUUAAUAAAUCAGGAAGUAAGGUUUCUAGUAAAUAAAUUUAGUAAAUAAUUUAACGUUAAAAUUAUUCAAUCAUAUAAAUAUACAUAAAAAUAUAAUUAUAAUUGAUUUUUAUUUAUUAUUACUUAUUAAUUAUGUAUUAUUAUAUUAUUUUUAUUAAUUAUAUUUAUUUUUACUUUCUAAAUUACUGUAUUAUUAACUAAAUUAUUAACUAAAUAAAUAUAAAUAUAUAAAAUAUAAUUUAUAAUACAUAAUUUUUUAUUAUAUAUUUUAUUUUAUUUUCAAGUUAUUAAAAUAUCCUAUUAAAAUAAUAGUUUAUUAAAAGUAGAUUUCAAAUUAAAUUCUUAUAAUUUUACAUAAAAUUAUAUACAUUUAAUUAUAUUUACAUAAUAUCAUACUAAUAUAUUAAUCUACGUUCCUAAUCCAUUAAUAUAAGUAUAUCAACGCUAUCUAUUGGAAAAGCGACAAAAUUAUUUUAAGAAAUAUAACAUUAACAAAUUAUAUUUAUAAUUAUUUCGUAAUGAAAAUGUAUUUGUAUUAUUUUUAUUAUUAUUUCUUUUUUCGUAUUUUUAUAUUUUGUAUUUUUAUACGUAUAUCAUUUAUAUAUAAUCUACGUAUAAUAUAUUAUUUAAUAUCUUAUAUUACCUGUUAAAUCAAAUUUAUAUGUAACAGAAAUUUUUCUUGAUAGCUGCAUACCGAAGAAUUAUACAUAGAUAUAUAUUAAUUUGUA